UAUAUAUGAGUUGAGCUAGGAUACUUUUACAAGUAUCGCCCCUAUGGUGCUAUUAGGUUUUUAGCCAUUGGUUCUACUUCUUGAUUACUAAUAGUCCUUGGAUCAAACACUAUUCCACCUACCACCACCUACCACCAUCAUCUCAACCUCACAUCUCUCCAUCUAAAGGCUAAAAACACUAAAGCACCACUCCCAUGGUACUUGUAAAAGUAUUCUAGCUCCACUCUAUAUAUAUAGAAUUAGGCUGGAAUACUAUUAAUAGUAAAACACUCUUUUUGCUAUCAAGUUUUUAACCCUUGGAUGAAAAAUUGUAGGGUCGGGAUGAUAUUAGUCGGUUAGAGUUGAGUGGUCCCCCUAGGGUUGAGUGAUCCCCACUGGGUUAUAGUAUUUAAUCCAAUGGUUAGAAAUAAUGAAAAGAGUUGAUCCAAAGGCUAAAAAACUGGUAGCAACAAUGAGAUUUUGCUACUAAUAGUAGCCCAGUCCAACUCUCUCUCUCUCUCUCUCUCUCUCUCUAUAUAUAU
rnacentral:lncRNA from 1 species